AGAAGAGAUUCAAAAGCUAUAAAGUCCUGUUUAGGCCAACAAGUUGCUACAUUUCUUGAGCAAGGACAAUUUUCUUAGUACAAUCAUUUCCUCCAACAAGGUAACUCAUGUAAACACCAUCAGGGUUGUACUGUUUGUUCUGUGCUGCCAGAUGGGGGAUAUAAACCAUGCAGAAACAAUUUCAGAUUUCCACCCUGAUUAGUUCAUCUUGAAUAUUUUCACAGUGUGAAUCUGGAAGUCAGAAGUUUACAUAAUGGUUAUAAAUUAGGGAGAAAUCCUGCUGCCAAGAAAGUCACACUCAAGCAAACAAACUGUCUCCUUCCUAACAUGUUUUAGGUGUUGCUUAUCAAACACAUUCUGGGCUGUAGGUGGAAAAAGACCUUGAAUUCCUCUUCGGUUUUUGGAUUGCUGUUUUCCCACCGCGGGCUGUUUAGUCACAGCGGUGAUUGACCCGCACCGUCCCCAUCCCGCGCCCGGUGCCCGGCCCGGCGAGCGCAGCUUGCGGCAGCCUGCAGCUCCCUCCGGGGGCCAGCCGAGAGCGAGCCCGCAGCCUCCCGAAACCCUCGAGGAGCUUUGAGCCAUCGGCCAGAGAGAAACUUCACUCAGGAAAACAUACCCCCUGCAAGUCCUCGAGUCCUUCACACCAGAGUUUUGCUACCAGGCAGCCGAAGGGGUGACUUGUCCUGCAUCCCUGAACUUCUCUCAUCCACGUUGUGCCUUCCUGAGCUUCUUCAGAGCACAGCUUUGGCUGGUUUUUACUGUCACCCCUAAACACAAGCCUCAACUCCAGUAUUAUUUUACAAAAACUCAACAUAAUGCCAGUUCUUAUUAGACUCUAUGGUGGCUGUGGUUGAAAAGAAAAUAAAGAUCACAGUGUGCCUGUAGAGUAGAUAACAAAUACCCGAGUCAGGCUUAUGCAAAGGCAACUCUCAAGGCACAGGCAGAUGGAGUAGGCAAAAGGUAAAGUUUACACAUUCUUUCCAAUUGGCUUGGCUGAGUGCUAAAGCCAGUAAAGCGCUUGCUUUUAUUCAGAAAUCAAUUUAAAAUCCAUCAUGUGCCAGAUAUAUAAUUGAAAAUUCUGGUUAUUGUAAGUACAAGGGUAAAUUCUGCCCUCUGAUACAUGCACAAGUUCAGCUUCCCUUUAGAAUCAUCAGGGUUAAUGUACAUACAUGUCAGGGCAGAGUUUAGUAUUAUCUCCGUGGAGCAGCGAACAACAUUAGGUCAAACAGGCCGGUUUCAUUUAAUACUAAGCAUGUUUAAGGAGAAAUGUCAGAGUUCAGUUCCGCUGGCUAAUGAUGUAAACCAGGAAUCACUGAAGCCAGACACCUAUUCUGAUCUUAUACCAAAUUUGUGUUAGGAUUACUCACUGAAAUAAAUCAGUUCUUUACCAGGAAUCCACCCUACUGACACAUGAGCAGUUCAUAAACUUUGCUCAGACAAGGAAAUCAUGCCAUGCAGAAACUGCAGAGAUCCAGAGUUCAGUGGAGAUGCCAUGGGAGCUGAACUCCGUUUGCAGGCCCACCUUAGGGUAGAUGCUGUCUGCAAGGGCCCUGCCUCCUCUUGGGUUAUCAUCUUCCUCUGCUUCCUGCCUGCAGACCAAAGAAAACCCCAGGCACAGUGGCUUCAUUAAUUUCUCACAGAGAUGGGCUCAAGUCACUGGUGAAGCUGCAGUGAGGUAAACCAGGGAGUGGAUUUCGGGAAGCUCAGCCACCUCACCCAUGGAUGACCUUGUUCCACAGCCAGUGUAGGUAACUUACUUGACCUUUGAUACCAAGACUGGAUGUUUGUAUAUGUCAGAUGAAAUAAAUGUAAAUCCAGGUCUACAGGCUAAAAAAAAAAAAAAAAAUAGUUACAGAGGAUUUUAAAGUAUUAGCCAAAAAUCAGUUUAUAUUUACUGCAGAUGCUAUAUUUUAGGUUAAAAAAGUUCCUAGGAUUAAGAUCAUAAAAGCGCCCUCACUGAUAAAAAUAUUUUAUAGACUAUUUACAGAAUAGUCUACAAAACAAUAUUCAUCAUUGUGUACACUUCUUUUGAUCUUUUAACUUCCUAAAAAUCAAAAUAAUAAGAGGCUGCAGAGAAAAAUCCAGCAUAGGCCAGAAGAUGCACCAUGUAGGAUACUGUUUAUCUGUUAUUUGCAUCUACUGUGACUGUGAGUGAAACACAGAAUAUAACCUUCAGUUACUUACUUUAAGAGUAUCUCUGUCUAUUUUAAGGACUAAUUCUAAAGCAAAUUCCUCAUUCUGCAUGUCUUCUGACUUACACUCAUUUAAACUAGGGACAUAUUCACACAACUUGGCACAGAUAACCAAAUAUUAUUUAAUUAUUUAUUAUCAUUGUGGCUUCAUUUUCUUCUCUGAAAUGGCUUGGAUUGUUUUCCUGAAAAAUGAUAAUUUCUUACUUUAUCCAUUAUCCACUCAUAGUUCUUAUGUGAGCUCCAGGGAGGACACAUAUUUCUUCUCAAAUUUUUCAGAAAGCUCCAGCUGAAGAAUCCUGUAACUGGAGUAAUUUUUAUUACCUUAACACUCUUUACUUCAAGCUGUAUCUCUCCAAAGAAAAGCCUAAGGCUAUUCUAACAAUCCAGAGGAUCCUGACCCUUUAAAAAUCACCUCUGAUCUUGGAGAAGAGCUUCCAUGUUUCACAUGAAUGCAGCCUUCCUUCCCAAUCUAUUUUAGAUUUUUUUACAAUCCCCAUGUUAGCCAGGAAGUCUCUGAAGCUCAGCUCCUACCAGAAUAGUUUUAUACCUUAUACCUUUGACAGGAACUGCUGGCAUUCGCCUGCAGGAAGCUGACAUGUGAUUUAGGAGGGGAUAAAACAUGUACAUGUUUGUUACUUGAAUUUUACAGCUCUUCAGGGAAUGAAAAUCUUUUUCACAAAGGAUUUAAAACCUUGGCUUUUUUCCCCACUAGAAAAUUUCAAAAUUCUCUGAAGGGAAAUGGCUGGAUGAAAUUAAUUUGAGGUCAAUUGAAAGGUUUCAGUCUGACCAAACCCAAAAUCCUUUUAAUUUUGUCUUUUGUAUUUUUAUUUUUUUUUUUACAUUAUAAUAUACUGAGCAGAAUAAAAUAUGAGAUGCUGUUCCUAAUGCUUUAAAUAAAGUCUUGAACAUAUGGCCUAAAUGUAACUGAUACAUUGAUGUCUAGCUGAGUUUAUGGAAACCCUAAAACAACAACUGUUGGAGAUGUGAAAUGAGCUAUUCAUCCUGACUCAUGUCCAGGAGUGAUACUUAAUAACAAUGAUAUUUAAAAUAGUUUAUCAAGGAACAUGACAAACAGAAUAGGAGAAAAGGGCAUGAUACAGGAAAGACCAGGUGGUGUAAGAGACAGCUUAAUUUGGUGCCAAGAACAAACUAGAUUUGCUAAAACUAUAUUUUUAUAAAGUUAUAAAUGUUCUUGUAUCGUUGCAUACUUAUCUGCUUUCCAAGUCAAGACACACAAAACCUCCAACAGCAAUAAAGCUCUGCUAAGGGGAAGAGUCUCAGGAGACAGAUUUUUUGGUGCCGCCAAAACCUGCACUGGUUUAAUGCACAGCCAUUUGCAUUGAGUGGUAGAAUAUUUUGGUGUAUCAUUUAACUGAAACCUGUUCCAUCAGAGGAGCUUUCCAUUCUCUCCACCACCACCACCCCAUUAGCAUUAUAGCUUCACCAGCUUGAAGGACAGGAAGGUAAUCAGGAACAGUCAACAUCAGCAGAUCACACAGCACCAGCCCAAGUGCUUUUGAUGAAGAAAUAAGUGUCUGUGCAGAUAACAUGUAAUACACUCUGGCUUCUGUAAAACUGUUCACACCAUCCCACACAGUGUUUUCAUGUGUAGGCUGAGGAAAUACCGGCUAGACAAACUGUCUUCAAGAUGGGUUGAAUACUGGCCAAGGCACCUCAUUCUAAUUAGUGUCUCAGUAUCAAUUUGGCAGCCAGAAACAAGCAGAGCAGCCUGGGAACUGAUAGUAGGACUGGUGCUCUUCAUCAUCUUUUGCCAUGACCUGGAAAAUGAGACAGAAGCCACCCUUGUCAAAUGUGUAGACAAUACUUAAUUAACUGCAAACUGCAGGGUUUGACACACUCUACAACUGGAGUAUGAAGCCAAAGAGACCCUGACAAACUUGAAGAUUAAUCUAAGAGAAGUUUCACAAAAUUCAGUCAGGAUAAAUGCAAAGGUUUAUACCUGGGGCAAGCACAAGUCAGUGAGCAAAUUUUCUGAACAGCAGCCUUUUUGAAAAGGACAUUUGGCACUUAGGGAAUACCAGACUAAUGGACAUGAGUGUGCUCUGAUCACAAGCACAGAAAAUGGUAUGAUGGAUCACAUUAGGAGGAAUGUGGCCAGAGGAAGGCCAGAAGAAGUUGCCCUGCCUUUCAGCAGUGAUGUGGAGGCAAAGGGGUGAUUUAACAGCAGACUACAACUCUUUGGAGGACAGUUGUAAAGUUGACAAUGGGACAAAACUACUCUCAGGAGAAGGAGAUAAUUUAACAAAGGGCAAGAACAAAGUGCUGCAGCUUGGGAGGUUCACCUGGAACAUCAGAAUUCUUCACUAGGAUGGUAGUGUAACACUGGAGCCCACAUCUGCAUGGAAGGCCUGUCCUCAGAGAGUUUCAAGAAUCAUCUAGACUUGACCUCAACUGGUCAGAUCUACUGUUGUUGUAGUCCUGCUGUAAUCAAGAUACUGUACUAGAUGACCUCCAGAGAGGUUCUCUUAUUUCCUUGAUCCUCUGAUUCACUGUUUUUAUAAUAGCCUCCCCUUCAAUAUAUUAGGAAUGAAAAUUCAGAAAAAAGUCCCUCUCAGAAUAUGAAGCUGUGUAAAAAUGACCUCAAUAUACUCUUUUAAUGUAGACACAAAUCUUUUAUAAUGUAAUUAGAAAAUAACAGGACACAGGUGUGUGAAGUGGAUCACCAAGUUAAUGUGGCUUGCUAAACUUUUAUUGCCUAAGAUAAUACAUAGCAGACAAGAGAUUUCACUUGAUUACUUUAUCCUACAUUCUUUACAGCAAUGACAAUGAGAAAUCUAAAUCCCUUCCUCCCUUUCUUCCUGGCAAGAUCUUUACUCAUCAGUUCAGUAUGCAAAGGAUGGGAAUCAUGAUGACUAAUUGGGAUUUAUUUCAGUAUUCAGUCCUCUGUUUUGUGAGAGAAGGUAACUGAGUACAAGUCUGGUCACAAUCUAGAAUUUAGGUCCAAUGUACUGACUCAAUCCCGUAUUAGUCAGAAUUUGGUCAUGACUACAAGCUAAAGUGUUCUUUCCUUUGAUUAUAGAUGCAUUGAAAUUCUCUGUUAAGGGAAAAAAAACCCCAAACAUAUCAGAGUCUGCUGAGGGGAUAUCUUAUAAUUUCAACUCACUACUAGUGAAACUCCACUGACUGGACAAAUGUCACCAGGAUAUUUACUGUAAAUCAGUAACUUCCCAGAAACACAAUUUCCCACAGCCUUGGGAGCAGUUCAGCAUUGCUUUUUAAGAUAUAUGUAAGAUAAAAUUAACAUGGUGGGAAACACUACCUACAUGUGAUUCCCCAAGUAGACAGAUAAUAAACAACACAGUGAAACAGGAACCACCAGAGAAGUUUCCUCAAACAGAGAAUUGGAAGUUGUUAACACAGAGAUUCUGAAAAUGGGCAGUUCUGGCCUCUGGAGAGACUUUUUUCAGUCUGUGUGGCCCUUGGAAUAUUUUCAUCCAAGAGGAGUUCCCUUGGAUGAGAUCCUUGGAAAAUAUUUCCCUUUGAUCUCUGGUGUAUUACUCCUCUUUUGCAGCCAGCCAAAGUUUAAAACUAACUUGACUCCCCUUUGACUGAUACCACUUCUACAGUCAAAUAUAGAAUUAGUAUAGAAGGGAUCAGAAAGACCCCAAGAAGCACUGCAAAUAAUCAAAAAACUGCUCAUGUUGGGCAGUGGUAAAAUGAAAAUUUUGAAUAUGUCCGGAAGAGUCUUGUGUCAUCAGCACCAGAUGCUUAGACAUAAAUGGGCUAUAGAGAGAAUCAUAAAUGAGUGUAGAACUCACAGUUGCACAGAAGACAAUGGAACCAGAUCAACUCAUACCACCUGGGAAUCUGGGCUCUGAAGACUGAAGUCAUAACAAUGGAACUAAAAAUAAGUUCCCACAAACUGGCCCACUCAUCAGCACUGUAUCUUGCCUUAGUGAAGCUGGAGAUCUGCUACUAAUACAGGCUUCUCUGCCCUAAAUCAUUUAUUUUGGCAGCUCAUAAAAUAUGGAAACUCUAACACUCAAUAUUCCCCACUCUCUCAUGAUUACUGUUCAGGGACAGACUCUUUAUAUCAAACAGAAACUUAAAGAUUGUGGCAUGUUAUCAAAACCAUAAUGAAAUCUUGUGCAAGCAUAGUAAUCAGAGAGGGCUAUUUGUCAAGACAUACUGUAGAGAAAAACAAAAUCCCACAGUAGAAACAGGAGUGCUUGCUCUGCCGAGAGAUACUGUGAAAAUGAAAUGCUCUUUUUUUUCCUCCUCCUUAAUCAAAACUCAGUAUGAAAACAAAAACCUUACCAAAUAACUUUUGCUGAUAAAAAAAAUGUUGGCUGGAUAGGAGUAGUGCAUAAUUUAUACAGAAAUAACAUUAAAAGGGGGAUUGUUCUCAUAGAUAUUUCUGAGUGUGUGAUCAAAAAUUUUGGCCCUGGGGAGAGUUCAUGUUACUGCCACUACUGGGUUGAAGCUGGAUUUUACUCUCUCUGUGAGACAGUCAAAACCUGGUAAGUUGCUCAGGGAAUGAAGGUGUGGGCAGAUCUGAUAUUACUUAGGAAGUCCCUGGUGAGGGCAUGCCUGUGUUUUGACCUCACCUGCAGCAGGAGGUUACCUAUUCUAUCCACAAAAUAUCUGUAGAGGUUUAAACUUUACUCAUUGCUUAAUGAAGAGAAGCUCUGGAGGGGGAGUUACAUGCUCUGGGAUCUCCUUCUGGCUGUGCUAUUGAUUUGCGAGCCAGAAGCCUACUCAGUAAAUCAGGGAUAACAUUAUUAAGUUACUUAAAUGGACUGUUGGGAUGUUAAUUACCCAGCACGUUUGCAGUCAGUCUGCCCUUCUGAAAAUUAAGCCGCUUGGCUGUCUAAAUGAUGCUUAACUCUGAGUGCAAAGAUCAAACACUUCAGCUUAAAUGUCCCCAUUCUCAGCUCCACAAGCUUUCAUAGUACCAUCAUAUUUUCAAAUACCAUCCCAUUUUUAGAGGAGGAGGACAUGGUUAGGUCAGGAUUAUGUUUCAACCAGAGAUCUGUAAAGAUCUUAAAAGAAACAGUGCUAUCUAGUGUUAUUGUUUGCACAGUUGCACAAGCACUGAAUUACUGACUGUGUAUGUAAAUGCUGAUGAGUACAGGGCAGAAAGGCUGUGUGGCUACAUGGGUAUAACAGAAUACUUUAUUUUUGAUCAUAAGUACAAUCUAUUACUGUGGCAGAGCAAUGCAAGGUUAGUACCUGUCAACAAGACAGCUGGAGGCCUCUUUUCCACUGAUAAAUGUUGAGUGCAGCUGUACUUGGCACAUGCUUAGGCUGUAAACAGGAGCCGUGGCUUUAACAUCAUUCUGAUUUUUCCACUCCUGAUAAUUGCUGCUUCCAGUUCCUCAGGAGUGGUGCCCAGGUGGAAUCCUGAAAUCUAUUCAAAUCCAGAGAACAAAUUCACUCUGAGAGCUGCAUGGCUUUGUAGACAUCGGAAUUCAUUAAUUCAUCUGUAUCAGGUGAAAGAAUUCUAAAUCCUUAAUUUUAGUUACACUUAGACUCUCAGAAGUUGCUUCAUUUGUGGACAACCACAGACAGAGCUGGGCUUUCCAUGUUCAUGGUAACAUCCAAUUUUUUGGGGCAGCCCACACUCCACUGAGGAAGUGGAUAUGAUUAUUCCCAAGGAUGGUCUCAUGGUCAGGGCACUUGCCAGAGCUGCAGUUCUACUAUCCAUAAGCUAAAUAAUUUGUGACUGCAGGACUCCUUUUUCUUGGAUUUCAGGGUGAUAUGGAAAAGGUGACUGUAGAAACUAGACCCACCCAGCUCCAAGAGGUGUGCAUUGUAGGAAGAAAGCAAUCAUACCUUGAAUGAAGUACUUAGUAUUUUCUAUUUGGAUCUGCCCCACUAUACUCUUUUAGUUGUGCAAGAUUUAACUAUGUGACCAAGAGUAAUCUGAAAUAUUAACAUGAAAAGAGAAAAUUUAAGACUCAAAUCAAAGUAAUGUAGGACAGCAGGUAUCAGACAGAAUCCACAUUUUUAAUUCAGAGCACUGUGGACAGCAAAUCCAUCAACAGGAAAGGUCUUCACCUUCAUUUUUCUAUAUAAAAAUGUAAAUAUUAAUAGUUAGCAAAAAGGAUCAUAAGAAAAGGAUAAGUAGAUAAAAACCUCUUGACUUCCCUACAGAACCUUCAAAGUGAGACAGCUAGAAACAUCCUCCUGACCCAUUGUCCUAAAUCCAUAUGUUCUCUUUUCCUUGAUAAAUCUUUUAUUUGUUUUACUUUCCACACUAAACUCUAUGACCAGUUGUGCUCUUUCUUCAUAUCAGCUUCUGAUUUUACCUUGUACCUGCCAGUUGUACAAACCUUCACAGCUUUCAACAUUUCAUGUUUUGUCUCUAUCUGUCACUCUGGAUGCCUUACCAAAGAGCAACACUGCUUUCAGCCAAAAUUCUAAAGACAAUUUAUCUACAAUGACAAACUAGAGGUGAAGCUGAAAGGUAAGUGGAUCUUUACUGUGGUUUGGGCUUUGGUUUCCUUAAAGAAUGUGAUUAACGAAUGUUGUUUAUCAAAACUCUAGGACUUGUUACAAUGGUUUCUCCAUGUAUCCCAGGGAUGCACCUAGGAGGGCUUUGAGGUAACUCAAAUUGAACUCAAUGUGAACUCAUUCUACCUGACACCUGUACCAACCCCAAGUGAUGCAGAUGCAGAUUCAGUGUGCAGCUGUAACUGGUGCUGAUUUGGAGCUGAAUGGAACUGUUCAGCUGGCUUGAAUCACCCACAGAAGCACCCGUGAGACUUGUUUGUCCUGCUCUAGGUAUCCACAGCAUUAGUGUCAGCAUCUGAGUCAACCUUCUACACUGCUUUUAGAAUCACUGGGGAGAUAGAAUCACCCUUUGGAGAUCCUGUCUUUCCUUGCUGAAUGCAAAGGAAGCCUGUGCAAUUCUAAGUCCAGUUUUCCAGGCUCAGAUAACAGUUCCUGGAUGUGGAUAUGAAUGUAUCUGGUGUCAAAUGGUUACACAGCUGGAUCUUCAUUUAUAAACCUUCUCCUCAGAGCAGUCAUCUGCUGAUGGCAUCUAGAAAACUUACAAGCAUUUCCUUCACCAUGGUUCAUAGUGCAUCUUGAAUGUCCAGCAAAGAACAGACAUGGCUCUGGCAGAAGCUGUAAUUGUGCAGCUUCCAUCACUCUUGCUGGUUAUGGUAAACUUUGUAGAAGUGCACUCCUCCUGCUGUGAGAUUAAAAAUAUCCAAGAAGAGGAAUUUCCUUACAUUCUUUUCAUAGACCUCUAACCUCUUUAAAAAACUCAAAGUGAACAUCAAACCAAGGCCAAUAAAUUGUUUUACAAAAUGUGCUGUGAAAACGAAAAAUGAUGUUAACUUUGUCAUAAUGUGGUCUGUCACUGUGCCAGGAUGAAAACUGUUUCAUUUAAUGCCCAACAAAAGUAGGGUUGUUUUGGUUUUUUUAUUCCCCAGCAUCAUCCAGAAAAGACAGUUUUUAUUGUCUUUUGUUUCAUUUUUAUUUCAGACUUAUUUUUAUUAAACAGAAUGUUAAGAUACCUGGUUUUGGAGCAUGUUUAACAUCUCUAUCUAUUGUUAGUAUUUUCCACAUACCUUGCUUUUAUUGUUCUUAAUAAAAUUGACAGAACAAAAGGAUUAUUUUGCCAAAACUGGAGAUAACCACACUUCAUGAAAUUCACUAAUUCUGAAUAUUGUUAAUUAAUGUAAGUAAUCAUAUUUCACAUGUUCUAUUGCAAUAUUAUUUCUGUGUCUCUCAGGCUAAUUUUCACAGUAUUAUUUGGGUUUUUUUGAGCACAACAAACUGGGAAAUAAAAGUCUGUAUUAAUUCCUCCUCAUUUUAGAAAUAUAACAUGGAGUACUUCUGGUAAGUAUGCUUUAGGAUCACAGUUUCCCUGAGUUCUGUCUACAGUAACAGAAGAUAGACAGGAGCCACCAGAGGGAGGUUGAGCCCAUAGAAGGCCUAUACCAAAGCAGCAUAUAAAACAGAAGUGUUUCUGGAAGGGAAUAUAGAAGAAGAAAAGAACAAGGAAGAGAAAUGAAGAAAAAAAAAAAGGAAAAAAAAACCCCACACACCAAAAGUUGACAUUAUUUUGUGACACGAAUAUUUGGUUCACGUACAGUUUGAUCAUUGUGUUGUCAUCCCCUCAUCUCUAAGAGAUUUUAGCAACCUAGCAAGAGAGAGACAAGAAAGAUAAAAGUGGGCACUGAAGUGGAAAUACUUCCACCAAAGAGACAUGAAAUUUGGCUUGGAGUCUUCAGCCUGAGGAAGAUCUUUCAGAAAUGUGUACAAUAAUGUCCCUCAAAGAAAGUGGAGGAGAUAGUCACUGUGUCUCAUUUUAUUUCAGGAGGGGAUUUUACCAAAUGAGAUAAAGCCAUGGCAGACUUGAAAAAAAAAAUGUAAGGGUAUGUAACAGUAAGAAAUAAAAUUCAGAAGUCAUUGCAUUGUGCUGCAGUAGUAGGUUUGAGGAGAUCUGGCACACUCAUGGCAUAGAGAUAAUUCAAAGCCUGCUCUCAGAUAUGGGGCUCUGGACAGUGUGGAUGUUUGGCCUGACUCACUUUUAUCCUCCUUGACUUGUUUUUCUGAAUAGGUUUUUGUGGCUCACCAAUGAAGGGAAGCUUUAACUCUAGCUCACUAAUGUGCAGUUAUUAGCUCACUAAUGUUUCUAAAGGUGAUGGGAAGGUCUUAAAGUGCUCCCUUGCCUCACUUAGAAAAUCUGUGGUGCAGCAGGGCAACUCACUCCAAGUCUAUAGCUAGCAACCAAAGACAUCCAUCACAUCUAAACAGCAUUUUAUUUUUUAACUUACACAGCUUUUUCAUGAAGUUCAAAUUCACAGUUCAAUUAUUCACAGCCUGGAAAGAGGGCAUCUGCAGUCACUUGGAGGAUUUGGUCUCCUGCAUGGCCAUAUGAGACACUUCAGUCAACUUGUGGGCACAAACAUAAUUUCUGAGUUUCAUGUGUAUAUAUCUAUGUUAUCAUAUUCUCUCACUGUGAAAGCAGUAACUACUGUAUGUGGUAAAAUGAUAUAUUGUUGUCCGCAAAAUGUCUUUGGCAACAGGAUGUUCACUAGCCUUGGAAUUUUGCCUUGUAUAAAUAUUUUUAAUCUACUCCAUGUAGGCAUAUUUUGGCUGCAAAAUAAAGGGUU